GAUGAACGCUCGCUACAGGCUUAACACAUGCAAGUCGCGGGGCAGCAUGGGGGUUGCUUGCAAUCCCCGAUGGCGACCGGCGCACGGGUGAGUAACGCGUAUCCAACCUGCCCUUCACCACGGGAUAACCCGGCGAAAGUCGGACUAAUACCGUAUGUUGUCCAUUGACGGCAUCCGAUUUGGACGAAAGGUUUGGCGGUGGAGGAUGGGGAUGCGUCCGAUUAGCUGGACGGCGGGGUGACGGCCCACCGCGGCGACGAUCGGUAGGGGUUCUGAGAGGAAGGUCCCCCACACUGGAACUGAGACACGGUCCAGACUCCUACGGGAGGCAGCAGUGAGGAAUAUUGGUCAAUGGGCGUAAGCCUGAACCAGCCAAGUAGCGUGCAGGAUGACGGCCCUAUGGGUUGUAAACUGCUUUUAUGCGGGGAUAAAGUGGCCCACGUGUGGGUUUUUGCAGGUACCGCAUGAAUAAGGACCGGCUAAUUCCGU
rnacentral:rRNA from 1 species